AGGACGAACGCUGGCGGCGUGCCUAAUACAUGCAAGUCGAGCGGACCGGAUCGGGGCUUGCCUUGAUUCGGUCAGCGGCGGACGGGUGAGUAACACGUGGGCAACCUGCCCGCAAGACCGGGAUAACUCCGGGAAACCGGAGCUAAUACCGGAUAACACCGAAGACCGCAUGGUCUUUGGUUGAAAGACGGCCUUUGGGCUGUCACUUGCGGAUGGGCCCGCGGCGCAUUAGCUAGUUGGUGAGGUAACGGCUCACCAAGGCGACGAUGCGUAGCCGGCCUGAGAGGGUGACCGGCCACACUGGGACUGAGACACGGCCCAGACUCCUACGGGAGGCAGCAGUAGGGAAUCUUCCGCAAUGGACGAAAGUCUGACGGAGCGACGCCGCGUGUGC
rnacentral:rRNA from 1 species